GCAUAUCAAUAAGCGGAGGAAAAGAAAAUAACAAUGAUUUCCCUAGUAACGGCGAGUGAAGAGGAAAGAGCUCAAAGUUGGAACCUGUUUGGCCUAGCUAAACCGGAUUGUAGACUGUAGAAGUGUUUUCCAGGCAAGCCGAGUAAAUAAGUCCUUUGGAACAGGGCAUCAUAGAGGGUGAGAAUCCCGUCUUUGGCUUGAGCAUUUGCCUUUUGUGAUACGCUUUCAAAGAGUCAGGUUGUUUGGGAAUGCAGCCUAAAUUGGGUGGUAAAUCUCACCUAAAGCUAAAUAUUGGCGAGAAACCGAUAGCGAACAAGUACCGUGAGGGAAAGAUGAAAAGAACUUUGAAAAGAGAGUUAAACAGUAUGUGAAAUUGUUAAAAGGGAACCGUUUGGAGCCAGACUGGCUUGUCUGUAAUCAAUCUAGGCUUCGGCCUGGAUGCACUUGCAGGCUAUGCCUGCCAACGACAAUUUGACUUGAGGGAAAAAACUAAGGGAAAUGUGGCCCACUUGUGGGUGUUAUAGUCCCUUAGAAAAUACCUUGGGUUGGAUUGAGGAACGCAGCGAAUGCUUUUUGGCGAGUUUUCCAGGAAGGUUUUCUGAGGUACUACGGUAUCAAGGUUGAUCUUUUUGGUUAUACUUCUAUUCGCUUAGGUUGUUGGCUUAAUGACUCUAAAUGACCCGUCUUGAAACACGGACC
rnacentral:rRNA from 2 species